ACAAGUGAAGUUAAAUUUUUGAAAACAAUGUAAAUAAGCAGUUUGAGGAAGAACAAGUUUGUUUUUUCCAAAGAUCUUGAUGAAAGACCUGGUGUUAUUUUGAAAUCAUUUGGAAAAUAUUGACUGCUUUUUUUCCUUCUCUACCCAAGGCCUUUAGUUGAGCAUUCAAAGUAGAGUAGCAAAUUAAAAAGUGAUUCUCUUGCAAAUUAACUCUGCUUUAUGUUUUCAAUUCCUGUUUAUCAAUUCUUUCCAUGUUUUAGAACUUAUACAUCAAAGUAAACUGGGGGUAUUUUGUUAAACUAGAACUUUGAAAAGAAAUAUGGAUUUUAGGUUAUUUUUAUAGGCAAUCACCAACCUGAAGGAACUCUCUCCUCCAGCACAACCUAAACUCUUGGAAAUUCAUAUGGAAUUCAGUAAUUUCCACUAUGUGCUUUUUUCCUUAUUA
rnacentral:lncRNA from 1 species